AAAGAAAUUGAGGAAAAUAAAAUUAAAAUAAAAAUAAAACAAGUUGUUUGCAAUAAAAAUAACACAAUAUUAGACAUAGCAAGAAGAGAGGGAGAAGAAAGAAAAAAACCAGGAAAUGAAGUAAGAGAGACACAUUAUUUAAAAAAAAAAAAAAAAGGAGAGAAACUAAAAUAGUAGCAGCGAGCGAGCAAGCUAAAACGAAACAAAGCGGAGCUGAAAAUAAAAUAGCAAAUCAAUAGGAAGGGGAAAGCUCGAAAAAAAAAAAAAACGAGGAAUAAGAAAUUGCACUCCAAAUUAUAUAGUAUUUAAAAAAAAGGAAGGAAAUAAAAAAAUCGAGAGAGGGAGCCAAAAAGAAUCGAGGCUGCGAACAAUCCAACCCCAAACAGGAACUGCAGUGGCACUCGAUUUCUCUGCAAUUGGUCAAGCAAGUUGUCUAAGCAGUGAUUUUUAUUUUCGGUUCGUGCUGUUCCGGGCUUGAGACGACGCGCUGUUAAGUUCGGUGAUUCCAACUCUAGGGUUUUGAUUUGUUCUUCGCGUUAUUCAAUUGGGCUUUGUUUGGUGGGGUUUCUAUUUAUCACUCCAGUGGAGUUUGAUCCCUAGGGUUUUGGUUCUGCGAAGAUGAGAUUUGUAUUUGCAUUGUAUGGUUUCUCCGUGGGUUAAUUUAGGGAUGUUUGGAAACUGAAAUAACUCUUAUCUACCUCGGGAAUUCUGAAUUUUUUUUUCUUUCUAUGGGAUUUCAUGCUUGUUCUUUUACUCUCAAUAUGCAGAGAUUGAGGGUUUGAUUCGCAUUGUAUGGUAUGCAAAUUGGUGGAUUUGGACUCGUUUGGUGUUGGAGAAAACUGUCAAUUGGGGUGGAAACGGGUUUAAGUGGUUUUGUAGUUCUGUGAAUGGUGUGGGAAUCUGCUUAUUGAGCAAUGCAACCCCAGCAGGGCUCCAGAAUUGAUUUAGGUGAAUUGAAAAGUCAGAUAGUGAAGAAGAUUGGGGCUGAGAGGUCGAAAAGGUAUUUUUAUUAUUUGAGGAGUUUUCUAAGUCAGAAGCUCAGUAAAAGUGAUUUCGAUAAGUCAUGUUACCGUAUUCUUGGAAGGGAGAAUCUGCCUCUGCAUAAUCAGUUGAUACGUUCAAUCUUAAAAAAUGCAUGUCAGGCUAAGACUCCACCACCAGUUCAUGAAGCGGCUCCUGUGAAAUCUUUGAUACAAACUGUGAUAAGUUCUGGUAGAGAUGAUGGACAUGAACCAACUGGAUCCCUUGUUCCUAACCAGAAUACAAACGUGCCCAUUUGGUCAAAUGGGGUUUUGCCAGUGCUGUCCCCACGAAAGGUUAGGUCUGGAAUACGGGAUAGAAAACUCAGGGAUAGGCCCAGCCCUCUGGGGCCAAAUGGAAAGGUUGAGAGUGUCUCACAUCAAUCCAUGGGUAUGGAAGACAAUGGCAAUAAAUUGGGUAUGGAAAAUGGGGAUUUGACACCAUAUGAUUAUCAGAGGCCAGUGCAGCAUCUUCAAGCAGUUGCCGAGCAACCUGAAAUUGAAAGAGAAGGUUUCUUGUGUUCUACAGAAAAAUCAAGGGUGCUUAUUAAAGGCCAGACUGAAGGAGCCAUUUUUGAAGAUUGGGAGGAUGUGGAGCCAGCUAACCACAUUAAUCUCUCUAGAAGUCCUCUGCUUGCACCGCUUGGGAUUCCAUUUUGCUCAGCUAGUGUUGGUGGGGCCUGCAAAGCUCGGCCAGUGGUAACCAGUGGCGACUUCAUUAGCUACUAUGACAGUGGCAGUUUGUAUGAUACUGAGACAUUGAAGAAACGUAUGGAGCAGAUUGCAGUAGCACAGGGCCUUGGAGGGGUUUCUUUGGAUUGUGCUAGUAUGUUGAACAACAUGUUGGAUGUAUACUUGAAGAAACUGAUCAGGUCAUGCGUUGAUCUUGUGGGAUCAAGGUCUACACAUGAAUUGAGAAAGCAUUCUGCCCACAAGCAGCAGCCUCAAGGCAAGCUUGUUAAUGGUAUGUGGUCAAGUAAUCACUUGCAUACGCAGAGUAGCUCUGGGCCCACAGAAGUUUUGCAGGAACAGGGGCAGCGGUGCUCAAUAUCUUUGCUUGAUUUCAAAGUGGCAAUGGAGCUAAAUCCCCAGCAGCUGGGUGAAGAUUGGCCUUUACUGCUGGAAAAAAUUUGUAUGCAUUCAUUUGAAGAAUGAAUGACCGGCAAAACUUUGUUUAUCCUUGUUCAAUGUGCUUGAAAAAUGUUGAUCAUUGAAGCUCCCAGUUUGAAUUCAUUACCAACAUGAACCAGAUGGUGCCCAGUCAGAUAAAGCUCUGGCCCUUGCAAGAUGAAAUUAUGGGUUUGAGUGUGGGGAUGCCUGUACCCCUGCUGGAGAGCUGGUAUGGAUCAGAAAAAUAUUUUUGAGCAACUGAGUUAAGGUGCUUGAAAAGGUAGUGCUUACAACUGGUUGCUCUGUUGUACGAUUAGCAUUGUUGUUGGCUGUCUUCUGCCAUCUCAACAGAUCUCAGGCUCUUCUUGUAAUUUACAGCCAAUGAGGAGGAAAUCUAAGAAAUUUUUGCAAGGAUACUGUCUUGUAGCUUGGUGAAAGGAAAAGGACAGAGGUAGAUGAACAGAAUUGCAUGUGAUUGAAAGGGGUAAAAGUUUCUCAAUAUGGGAUGAGAAAAAUUCUGUAUCAACAAUCCUUCCCUGUUCAGUUGGAGUAGGCACGCUUACUUGCUAGUGCUUACUUGAACAUUUCUUCGACUUCACUCUGCUCUAGAUAUGAGUAUCAAUUUUGCAGUCAUUUUUUGUAAUUGAUAGCAUACAUAUGCUUUAUUUUGUUGAGUUGUCCUUUAUUCUUGAGCUGGUUUUCAGUAAAAUUGUUUUUUGGAAUUCUUUUUCAUGUUUUUAGAUAGUUAGGUUUGCACCUUUCACCUCUUCACUUUGGGAUUUUUCAUCAUUUUUGUUACUUAGUGUAUCAUAACAUGAAAAAUGGAAAACUGUGUUCUCAGUUAUAUUUGCACUUUAAUUUAUGUCAAAGGAAAACACUGUAACCAUUAGUUGUGCAAAAGUUGGUGAUGGUAAGUACUCCUUUUAAUUCUUUAUGGUAAUGUUUGUUCCUUUGUUAUGCAUAUACUGAGUCGUUCUCUAUUUGAUUUGUUUAUUCUUGGAACUCAUUAAGGAGGUGCUUGGUGUUCUGUUACUUUUUUAACCUAUGGGUUGCCUAAUCGUGUGUUUGAGGUUGGGGAAAAUCUCAAUCAGGCAGCUGCUAUUAAACAUUAGUAAGCUGAAGGGAUUGGCUAAUUCAUAGUAUGAAGACAUUUACAUCACUUGUGAUGAUGAGAAGAGAUCAGGCAUGCGCUUGAUAUGAAAAAGUAAUGGAACUUACUGCAACACCAACGAAUAUGUUGUUAGCUUUUUUUUUUCCCUAAAUAUAGAAAUUUAUACUAUUUCUGUUGAAGCUGCAGAGGAGAUCAACCGGGUCUCGGUGAAAGUUCAGUUAUCUUGGUCUCCAUUUUUCUUGCUUGUAUCAUGAUGUAGAUGGGUCACAAUGCUUUGUUUUUGUUAUCAGCAUCAACCUUGUUAGCCAUUUAAGCUAUCUGGACCAUGCGGCUAGUAUUGAGUUUCAGUUGAUGAACUAGUGAAUGAUGGCACCUGAAAAGUAUGUAAUUUGCGCUUGCUGAUGGUGGAGAACAGCCUUUCUAAUUCUGUGGUAUGAUCAUGAAGGAAUUAUGUUGGGACAUUAUCAAAAUAUGAAUUCUCCCGAACUUUGAUAUACGUUUUAACUUUGAUGGUUGAUAGUUACGAGCAAUGCUUGAGAAGAUCAAUGUAAUUAUGAUGUUAAACCUAGAGCAAUGACAUGAAUGAUGAACCAAGAAAUCUUGUGCACCUGUCGGUUACAACAUUUCUCCUGCAAUCAAGUUGCUAGCCAUGUUCUUCCCUGGCCGUAGAUUUUUUAGAUUUUCUAUUAUAAUAUUGGUCCUGAAU